UGGGGAAUAUUGGACAAUGGGGGAAACCCUGAUCCAGCAAUGCCGCGUGUGUGAAGAAGGCCUGCGGGUUGUAAAGCACUUUCAGUAAGGAAGAAAUGUUUAGAGUUAAUACCUCUGAAUCUUGACGUUACUUACAGAAGAAGCUCCGGCUAACUCCGUGCCAGCAGCCGCGGUAAUACGGAGGGAGCGAGCGUUAAUCGGAAUUACUGGGCGUAAAGCGCGCGUAGGCGGCUUUAUAAGUCGGAUGUGAAAGCCCUGGGCUUAACCUGGGAAUUGCAUUCGAUACUGUAUAGCUAGAGUAUGGUAGAGGGAAGUGGAAUUUCCGGUGUAGCGGUGAAAUGCGUAGAGAUCGGAAGGAACACCAGUGGCGAAGGCGACUUCCUGGGCCAAUACUGACGCUGAGGUGCGAAAGCGUGGGGAGCAAACAGG
rnacentral:rRNA from 1 species